UCUUACUUGGUUCUUGCUGCACCUUUUUCUUCAGAAACACCUUUUAAGUUACAACAAGUGAGAUAAUUAUGUACGUAUGUUUUCCUUGCAGGGAAUUUGUGCAGUUCAUAAGAUUCAAGUGAUACUUUGGUUUAGUUUCAUGGCCAAUCUGGAUAUGUUACAUCGAGUGCCUUAAGUGGAUUCAUUAGCCUGAGGACAUGUGAGGUGAUGUUUUCUAGCAUUCUCAAUUUACUAAAGGAAUGCUUUCCACAACUUUGCUUCUAAAUUGUUUGUUUAGAGGUUAGAUGACAUUUCCCUGUAGAAAGAACAUUAUGUUAACUCCUAAUGGAUGACACUCAUGGUAAUGACCUGAAUUCAAGGGAACAUGUUGUUUAGGAUUGAAGAGAAGAGCAAAGGUAAUUUCCUCCCUAUUUCUUAAAUAUGCAGCUGACCCUAAGUACAUUUUAUUUUUAUACUUUUUUCUGUUUAUAUAGUUAUUUACAUAACUAUAUAAUAAACUACAUUUAUGAACUAUAUAUGGACUUUGUUUAGAUCUUGAUUCAAAUGAACCGACUUUGAAAGAAUAUUAUAGGGAAAUUUAAACACUAAUUGGAUAGUAAAGCUUUAUUGUUAACUUUUUCAGGUGUAAUAAUCAUACUGUGGUUUUUCUUAAGAAUAAGGAAGGGUCACAUUUUAGAGAUAUUCACAGAUUAAAUGAUAUUUAAUCUUGGAUUGCUUUAAAAUAAUCUGAGUUAGAGAGAAUGGAGAAUACAUGGACGAAACAGAACAGCCAUGUGUUCAGAAUUGUUGAAACUGGUUGAUUGGGAGUUCAAUAUAUUCUAUUUUUUAUAGGUUUGAAAAUUUAUAUGAAAACAAGUGUGCAAGAGACUACUGGGUAGAUAAGGAAGAAGGAAGUCAGAUACAGG
rnacentral:lncRNA from 1 species